rnacentral:rRNA from 1 species
AGUGAACGCUGGCGGUAGGCCUAACACAUGCAAGUCGAACGGCAGCACAGUAAGAGCUUGCUCUUACGGGUGGCGAGUGGCGGACGGGUGAGGUAUGCAUCGGAAUCUACUUUUUCGUGGGGGAUAACGUAGGGAAACUUACGCUAAUACCGCAUACGACCUACGGUUGAAAGCAGGGGAUCUUCGGACCUUGCGCGAUUGAAUGAGCCGAUGUCGGAUUAGCUAGUUGGCGGGGUAAAGGCCCACCAAGGCGACGAUCCGUAGCUGAUCUGAGAGGAUGAUCGGCCACACUGGAACUGAGACACGGUCCAGACUCCUGCGGGAGGCAGCAGUGGGGAAUAUUGGACAAUGGGCGCAAGCCUGAUCCAGCCAUACCGCGUGGGUGAAGAAGGCCUUCGGGUUGUAAAGCCCUUUUGUUGGGAAAGAAAAGCAGCAGGUUAAUACCCCGCUGUUCUGACGGUACCCAAAGAAUAAGCACCGGCUAACUUCGUG